UUCCAUCUCAGAGCAUAUAGAUAAGUGCAUUUCUCAAAUUCUGUGGAGGCUAUAGAACUUAAAUAUGAAGACACAUUACUGGUUUCAUUAGAAGCUGUAAAAUACUUGAUUUCAGAGACUGGAUCUUUGUCACAAGGUCUGCAUUAACUCCCAUUUGUUCUUAUUCUGAGGAAAAUAAAGCGUAUUUCUGGAAUUGAAACCUUGAUCUACCAGAGGAAGGAAUUUGCCUUUGGAUAUGUACUGAAGUUUUUUACAUGCCUUUCUAGUGCCUGUGGUCAUGGCCCUUUACAGAGCUUCUCUACUGCCCACUCCCUCCUCCACUUCUCUUCCCUGUGUACCUCAACACAGAUCACAACUGUUCAUGUCAGGACUUUCUCCUCUGAGGCUCCAAUCUUUUGGAACACCCCUCCUCUGUCUCUGCCUCAUUGACUUGCAUUGGCUCAUCAAACAUCCACUGAGAACAAGUAUCUGUUUCCUUUUCUAAAUCACCUCAUUGUUUCCUUCCUCUCAAUGAUGAUUUACCUCUGUAUUUAAUUAAUUAUGUUUGGUUUUUGACGUAUGGUUCUUCUGCAGGAUGCCACAUAAAAUGAAGCCUUGUAGUAUGUUACAGGUGGAAAAACAAGGAUGGUAAAAGCUUCAAUUUUUGUUUUUGCAGCAAGUGCACACUUUUCCAUCCUGUAGAAACUGGCAAGGAGGAGAACAUAGUCUGGAAAUGUUUUCCGGGAGUUUUGCAUGUUUCAUCUCACCGGAUGUAGACACCCACAUUUAUGAAAAGUGCUGUCACCCUGGGCUGCUUCUAUAUUGAGACAUUUUUAGAGCAAUAUCCUCCUCAUUCUAAAGCAAAACAAGUCAGAAUAAGUUUCCUAAAAGUACUUCUUUUUCUUCCAUUUAACAGUAAGAAAAGACCUAAGUGCUGACUUAUUCCAACUUGCACAUCUGCCCUGUAAGACUCCAGACUUAAGUGUCUUACCCGCGGCACCUUUUUGUGAACCAUCUUCCUUUCCAGAGGAAAAAAAAUCAUUAAGAGGAAUAGAAAGAAAUGCAAGGAACAGCUGUACUAAGGUGUUGUUAAAAUGAAGGCUGAGAAGCAUCUGGGAGACUCACAGGUCAGACACGCUGAACCAAGCAUGAGGGCAGUGACAACUUCACUGCAAAAGCUUUGUUUGCAUAGCACAUCAAGGGUAGUAUCUGCCUGAGUCCCACGUGGGAGGCACUCUGAACUGUGAAUUUUGGCUCCUUGUUUUCAUUUCUGAGAGAUAAUGAGGAAGAAAAGAUGCAACAAGUUUUCAUUAAAAAGAAGCAAGAAGCCCAUGUGGCCUGAUUUAUAUUUUUAAUACAGUGCAUGCAUGCUACUGUAGAAGUCCUGAUUAAUUACAUGUUUUCAUCUAACUACCAACAAAAUCUUCAUGCUGGGAUGAAAAAUAGGAUGAACAAUCUCAUCAGUAAAACUGUGGACAAAUUUAACACAUGCAGUUAAAGUCAAAUCUGCGUUCCAUCAAGCCCAGUGAAAGAAAAAAUAACCCUCAAAGAAAACCCUUAAAGACUUUAGGAGGCCUUAGUCUUCCCACACUCUGUUUAAUUGUGCUGCCCUCUGCCUAAUUAUGCAGCCU